rnacentral:lncRNA from 1 species
UGCGCAUGGACCCUUCCAGGCUCCAUGAGGUUCCUGUGUAUCAACAGCUGCAAAGGCAAAGGGAUUGGCCUCCUGGGCAGAAAGGGGCCAAAAGGGAGGGCCCUUUGGAGGAGCGUGGCUCUGGUGAGGGGUGGAGGUGAGACCCACACUUAUGCUCUGAUGCCUUGCAACUGAUUUCCUCCAGAUACAAACAGGGCAGCUGAAUGGGGAGAUGGCCUCCCCCAUCAGAGGCAGUUCCCAGCCAGCUUCCUUGGAUGGCCACACAGGAAUCACUCCACACACCAUCCCUGAGAAGCAGAACCACAGGGAAACCUCUUGUCCCUCUGGAAACUCAGUUACAAUCAGUUCAGCACUUGAAGGAAGGAUCUCGAAACAUUACAGCCCGAAGAACAAGAGGGUGAAACUGUGGAGGCCUCAGCAUCUUCUACCCAGAGUGUGCCCAAGCUAUACCCUGGGGCAGCCACCAGCAUCAAGAGCUUCAGGCCAGUAGGGAGCUAGGGGACCUCUUGGUCCCAUUUCCUUGAUAACAUCAGAAAUCUGAAGAACAACUCUCCAGCAAGGCACGGGCUUCAACUGAAGCCCUCUUCCCAAGUCAUACUAAAACAAGAACUGACCCCAGCUGCGGGUGCUUCUCUCUGCCCGCACAUCCCUCUUCCAGCCUGCUCCAUAUGCAGCCCCACACAGUGGGGGUUCCUGUUGGGAUUGUGUGUCUGGGGCAAGUGACCUUACCACCCCAAGCCUCCAUUUCCUCAGAAGUCAAACAGGGAUGGGGAUGCUGACUUUCCGGGAAGCCAGCUCACUUUGCUUUCAACUUCCAAGUCCACUGAAAGUUUCCAGUCCCGGGAUUUUAGGAAGAAGAAAGAAGAUACUAGACAUUUCUAUAUGGGAAGAUUUCUUUGCAGACAUGAGGAAGUUUCUUGACUUAGAAAGAUGUACCUGGUCCACUGUGGGCAUGCAGUGAAUGUUCAUCAAAUGAAAGGAAAAUAAGCACCUUCCAUAUAUAUGUGUGAAGUUCUGAAUUCGGCAUUGGCCUCAAGAAGGCUUCAAUGUUCAUCCUUUCCACUGGGCCAUCCCUAAAAUCCUUAAGCAGAGGGACUACCUCUGUACUUAAAGAUCUCCAAACAGAAAGAUAGCACAUUCUCUUUACAGCCAGUAGAAACUAUUGAGCUCAUCUCUCCAUUGACUCAUUCACUUGCUAACUCAUUUAUUGAGCACAUGCUAUGCGCCAGGCCUUGAGUAGGCACUGGGGAUACAGAAGUGAUUAUAAA